AUUCACUCUUAUUUUUCAACAUCUUUUUGACACAGGUGCCUAACUUACUGAGAAUCAUGCCUGCUGUGAUGAGCCCUUGGAAACCAUCAGGACUGGAUGGUAGGGGUCCUGAGAGGAUUGGGGGAGGAGGCCUUGAUAUGACAGAGUGGACAGAGGCCGUGGAACCCAGGACAGCCAGCCUGCUCCACAAUCCUCAUCCCCACAGACCUUCAUGUGUGGCUCCUAAAUAAGAGGAAACCCACUCCUGAUAAGUCAGGGGCUUUGAAAAGUGAUUUUGUUUAAAUGGUGCAAACAAGCAAGCCAAUCUUGGGGAGACAGGGCUAAACUUAAGUCCUUUAAGAAGCUCUACAUACUGACAAGAUUCUAGUUCCCUUCCACCUUAUAUGCUGCAAAGUAAAAAGUAUCACUGAAUGAGAAAAUCAGCAUAAAGAAGCCCAAUAAUGUCUGCCUGAGUUUCCCCUAUGAUGACUUUUGGUACUUUUUGGGAAACAUUAAGUAUGAAGUUAUUUCAAAAUAAUUUUUUGGUGCCUCUGCUUGGUGAUGCCUUAAACUCUGGGUAAGAGAAACACCAGGUGCCUGUCAGGAGAUGGCCUUUUCCAGGUUUCUGGUUAAGCUACAAACAGCUAACUGGCUGCUGUCAUCAAAAUAAAAGCUUUCUGAAGGUGGAGGCAUCUGAUACCCAGAGUGCUGCUAUCAGCCGGCACGGUGGGCCGCUGGGUGGCAGGAGCGUCGAGAAGGCCAGCUCGCUUCCUAUCUGGGAUUCAGAAUCAGCUAUGGAAACUUGAGAGACCUAGAGAAAAUAACUUCUUUCACUUUGAACUGAUUCUUUGCUUCAUAAGAAAAGUAUUAUCCAGCCACAAAAAUGGUCAAAAUUCAGAUCUACAAAAGCCUGUCAGGCAGAAACUGACCCCACUUAGGCCACGCCAAUGAGCAAGUCAUCAAAGCAGCCAAGACAGGUCCUGUGGGGGCCACCCAUGCACAGGGCCCAGCCUCGGGUCCUAACCCCGCCUAUGCUUUCCGCCACCAUAAAGAGGCCCAUCUGGGUAAGACCUGUCCCGCCUGCUGUGGGGUAUUAGGGCAGAUGGGGUCUGAGGGGUCUGAGGGCUCUGAGAGCAGCUGGCAGCUCAAGGACAUCCGGAGUUGGAGGAUGGAGCAAUGCAGGCCCUUGUGGUAAAGACAGUCCUGCAGCCGCGCAGGCAGGGAUGCUGCAAGUGGAGUGCCAGGCGGGUGCGGAGCCCUGUGGGACUGUGGAGGGGUCAGAGGGAAGCCAGGAUUUUGGGGUCUCUGAGAGUUUGGAGAAGGGGAAGAAGAUUAAAGCUUGUUUCAAAAGUUUCUAAUCAGGUGGGCAGGGCCAAGGGUGGCUGUGGGGUGAGACCCAUGACUCAGGGUGGCCCACUGUUACUCUAUUGAUUUUUGGGCGUUUUUUUCCAAAUUGAUUAUUCUUGCUGAAUGAGACCUGAGUCCUUGACUGUCCCCUUAAAGCCACCUGACUUGUUUUCAGUUCCACUGGCCUGUCGGGCUGUUUUCUACUCAACUCCACUCUUGCUUGUCUGCCCUCCCUGCCUGGGGCCCAGCCAGCAGUCAGCUCAAGGGCCAGAUGAAUUGGGUGGCUGUGCUCUGCCCACUGGGCAUCGUGUGGAUGGUGGGUGACCAGCCCCCUCAGGUGCUCAGCCAGGCCUCAAGCCUUGCUGUGUACCUCAGAGCAGCUCCGUACCCUGAUGUCACAGCAAAGAAACUUAGACAUGACACAAACUGUGGCUUCCCAAGGCAGCAAAGAAUGGCCAGGGGUCAUGAGGGCCGUGCCCCACUUUUGGACAGACCUACUCUAAAGUCACGCUACCUGCGUGCAAAUCAUAAAAUCAACACUUUUGAGGAGAUCACAGCUAUGCCUUCGUAACACAGCCCAGUCCGACCAGAUAGACGGUGCCUCGUGACCCGAAAACAAGCCCCCGGCCCCCCACCAUGUGUGUGAGCCUUACCUUGGACUGCACGCUGAGGGAGCGGAUGGAAGGGACAGCAAGGAGGCCGAAGCGCUCGUAGAGGUACUCAUUGGAGGAGCUUCCCUUCAGGAGGGCGAAAGGAAUGAGGUAGAGCUCCCCCUCCAGAACCAGGAUGAGCUGCCGGUGCCGGCCCACGGGGCCGCUGGAGUGCAUCAGGCCCUAUGGAGCAAGCACGGAGAGGCUGACAUGGGUGGCCCAGCAGGCAGGGGUUUCAGGCACCAGGACAACCCUGAGCCCUAGCCUGGAUGACACAAGCACGAGCAGAACAAGGCUAAGGGCGCGGGCAUCUUAAUGAGAGCAGCAGGCAACAAUCCUGGAAGCUGGGUCCACACAGACUGCGGUGAACAAAGAGGUGGCGUGGAAGCUGCUGCUGCAGCCCAGAGCCUGCCAAGAAGGUCCCAGGUCCACAGGGCCUGCGCAACACUGGGUGCCAGGGGUGGGGCUGGCCUGCCCCCCAACCCCAUCUGCUGAGGAGUGGCUGACAAGCGGACACCCACCAGGGUGCCACUCGCUUGUGCCUGGGGAAGCAAAUGUGCUCGCUUGACCCGUCUGAUGUGCUGCCGUGGGCACUUGACUGAGAGUGGCAGAGCACUAGGCUAACCCAAAGUGACACAUGCCUGGCGGGAUGUUCAGUCUCUGUAAACCCAUAUGGUUUUUUUU
ensembl:lncRNA TTC28-AS1 TTC28 antisense RNA 1